UUUUUUUUUUUUUUGUAUAUAAGCGCAAUAUAAUUAGCGCUGUUUUAAUAAUUCAAACAAAGCAAAUGACUUGUCCAUUGGCUACAUAAGUUAUUAAUGUAAGUAUAGUACGUUUAUAUUGGUUCAAUUCUGACCAACAGAAUUGUUCUUUAUAUUCAAAAUAAAAUAGUAUCCAGGAGACAUUUUUCAUGGUUCCUAUCGUAUAAUUAUUUGUAGUUCAUUGCUCUGAGCUCAACAUGUUUGGUUUUUCUUAGGUUUUCUUGGUUUAUUUUACUAUCGUGGUCAGUUGCUAUUUUUGUGGCCACGAGUUCUGUUUGUGCCAUAAAGCUCUGCUUACUGAUAAACCUAACCUGGGUGGGUCAACCGGUGGAGAUAGGUCUCUAUAAUUUAUUCUCAAUGAAGUUGCCCUUAGCGGUAACAUGUACAUAUGUACUAUGCCCUACGUUUUGUUUUGGUUUUGUACGAGUUCUGUUUGACUUGGGGAAAUUGGGAGGGGUAUUUAUUUUCACGUGAAAAGAUCUUUGAUCUGAAGGUCAUUUGAUGCAGAGAUGACACGAAUCUGUUUUAGCACCAGGCCAGUUUUGUUUCCCUGGACAUGUGACGGAACACAAAGAAUUCAUAGUCCCAACCUUAAGUACAUUUAGGUCCUUUUGAGUUGUUUUGUUGUUGUUUUUGUGUGGGGAUGGGGGGAGAUAGAACAAUGGAGUGGUACAACAAAGAACUCGGCCACUAUCUUGGAUACUAUUAAACAUUAUUUGUGUAUAUAAAAUGUGUCAUAUAUAAGUUAGCACUGUGUAUAGUAACUACACUUGGUCGAUUGUUUAGUGUGUGUGUGUGUGUAAUAGGAUCAUACAUUUGGUACGUGGAAAAUAAUUCUGUAUUAUCUAUCACACCUACCUUGUUAUAGUGUCUCAAAUGUGUACUUAUACUUACAGACGUCUAAGAUGUUUAUAGAUUCAAACUGAAAUGUUACUUCUAGGGAUGUUUAGGUGAGCGCAUUAAAAAACUUUGACAUAUUAACUCAUUACAACUCAUUACUGCAACACCAGUCUAGAGUAAGAAUGCCAAACUCUUUAUAUUUAUGCUCUACAUUUCCAUGUACCGAACUUCCUGACAGUGAUGGAAAUGUAUUUCAGUUGGAAUAAAUCAAUCAUAUUACUGUCAUCUAACUGUUACAAAGGCAGGAAGUGACGUGUAAAACUGUCGGUUCAGGCCGUGAGUUAUACUUAUGUAUCAGCAUCAAAUGGAAACAAAAUCUAAUUUAGUUUAAGAUAGCAGUGUGACGUUGUGACGUCAGAACUAAGAAGGGGGGGGGAAUAGAAUAUCAUAGUACAGUUAGAAAUGUUUCUUUAUUAGAGAUUACGUCAAGUUGAAGGUUUUCCUAAGCCAAACAUCAUUUUCUGGACACCAAAACAGAUAUUUUAAAACUUCUUGAAAGAUAUUGCGCUGUCUAGGACGUUUACAAAGACGGGAAAAAAAAACGAGAAAUUAUUUCUAGAUUGACGUCAUCGCUGGACAGUUACUUUUUUUUUUUUUGUUUUUGUUUUUUUCUUAAGAGAAGGACAGGCCAGCAAGAUUUUCUAUUUUGUUUUUGCGCGCGUUCAAGGUUCUGCUAACGUCUGCUGUAGAAACAAGUGCGUGUGUGUGUGAAGUUAUUUUCUUCUAAUUGUAUAAAGUGGUAAAAAAAAAAAAAUAAUUUAGUUACUAAAAUUCUGAACUCGUAUUUUCCACACGUCAUGAUGCGAUGGCAAAAUUGUGA